CUGGACCAAAAAUGGGGGCACAGGAAAAAGCAGUAGUGUCCAGGCCCUGGCAAGACGGGAGCCGACGACCUACUUCUCCCGUGCCACUCCUGGCCCCUGUAAGGAGCCAGGCUGCACCUGGCCCUGGCCACAUGAGCUCCGAGUUCCUGGAACAGGCCAGCACACCCUGUCCCCGCCAGCUUCCUGGUGUGCCUUUCCAGGGCUGGCAGGUGCUGCUGCCUUCCAGGUGCUGCUGUUCUUUGGAUGGCCUGGGGUGCAGCCACUGUAUGCAGUGCCUCCGGGCAUGUGCCGCAGGUUCAUGUGGGACGCUCGGGGGCCGCGGGGGAUGACACAUCGAAGGGGAGAGAUGUCUGCUUUCCUCUUGGACAGAGAAAGUUCUAUGGUGCCGCAGGCCCCAGCUGAGGACGGGUGCAGGGCAGCCCCCAUGAAGGCUCGCCACAGGCCUGAGCCCGAGUCCAGACUCGCUUCCUCCAGUAAGCGGGCCUCAUGCCUGCUCCGUGAGCACCCUUGGCAAGUGUGGUGCAGAGGCUCACUCACCACCCUGGGAGAAUAGACAGGAAUGGGCUCUUGGGUGUGGGAGAGGCCAAGGCAGAGGGAGAGGAAGGGAGGCCUGUGCUGGUAAAACAGAUUGCAGAUGGCCUGGGGCUGGGGGAGAGGGGCCAGGCAGGUGAGACUCGCAAGUCCGGUUCUAAAACCCUGGAUCCUCUACAGGAACACACUGG
rnacentral:lncRNA from 1 species